rnacentral:rRNA from 1 species
UACGGAGGGGGUUAGCGUUGUUCGGAAUUACUGGGCGUAAAGCGCACGUAGGCGGAUUGGAAAGUUGGGGGUGAAAUCCCCGGGGCUCAACCCCCGGAACUGCCUCCAAAACUUCCAGUCUGGAGUUCGAGAGAGGUGAGUGGAAUUCCGAGUGUAGAGGUGAAAUUCGUAGAUAUUCGGAGGAACACCAGUGGCGAAGGCGGCUCACUGGCUCGAUACUGACGCUGAGGUGCGAAAGUGUGGGGAGCAAACAGGAUUAGAUACCCCCGUAGU